UAAAUACUCCUUCCAGAUUUCCUGUUUCCACAGAGCGCAGUUCAAUCGCCUUCUCUCCCCAGCCCAUGACCUGAUUAGAUUGAAGCGCAUGUCCAAGAAAAAUCUCGAUUGUCUAUCUGUGCCCAUCCAUGAGGAAGUUAGGUAUGUGUUAGCCUCUCACACAGUUAAAUGACAGAAAUGAUCACAGUACUGAUGGUUCAUCUUCAAGAGUGGACUGCUUGAAAACCAAAUAAAAGCAAGACGAUAUUUCAACGGCUGCGGUACCAUUUCCAGUGGGGUGAGAACUACUCUGUCAUCUUUUAUCUCAGUCCUUCUGUUGCUUUGGUUUGUAAGAAAGAUCAGCAGCAGCCUGGGAUCACAGGCUCCGGUUUUGCACUAGAUGCUGGAAAAGAAGACAUGUGGAAUCAUAAAAAAUGCAAAUUUUUGGCUACAUCUCACAUUUGACCUGUCCAUGGCAGAAUGAAACAAAUCCGGAGAGGUUUGUUCUGAGGUUCCUGGUUAGUCAGUGGCACUUUUGGUGGGCUCACAGCGGCACUGGAAAUUUGGCUUUGCUGGAGAAGAUCUGGCAGGAGAUAGUUCUGAUUGUUUAUGCUCCAGAGGCCUUCUUGGGUGCUAGAAAUUUGUUUCCCUAAAAUCUGAUCCUGCACACGAGAAAACAAAGCCUAUGCCCAGCACCCAAGAACCAGGAGAAGGAGAAAAAGCUGGGCUGUUUCUGCUGUGAGAAAAACAUGGGCAAGCUGAAGCUGAAGAGCCAGGAAAGAGCUCUGGCACUGCACAAGGCAGCUGGAGAUGGCCUGGGGCUGGUACUGUUCUUCCUUCACCCUUGCACAGACGAAGAUGGAGGUACUGUGAAAGGGAAAUUAUUAACUGCAGUACAACCUUUCCCAUCAUGCUGUUGCUCUGACAUGAUAAGCAGGAUUAUUCUCAUUUCUGGUACAGAACAAUAAACAUUCAAAUGAAUGGGUCAUGCUAAUAUCAGGGUUGAGGAAGAUGAACAGCAUGGGCUGCUAAGAUCCUGGCUCAGUCUGGUGCCCUGUUUAUAAUUUCUUCUCCAAAGCAGGGCCCUUCCUCCUUGAGGACGAUGGGAUGCUGGUGAGGUGGAACUCCUUCCCCAGCCUGGAUGGAUUUCACUCUGAUCUGAAGCUUAGAAAUACCAGAGCCACAGGAAACUCCUUUUUCUUCCUAGCUCUGUUGCAGCUCACCCAAGCAGCUCUGGGGAAAACACCAGUUUCAUGGCAAUUUACUUUCCCUAUCUGUGAAAUGAGAAUACACCCAGAAAUAUGUGGGAAAUGCUCAGAGGUUGAGAGCAAAUCUUAUUACUGUAAUUUUUUUUUUGUUUUCAACCACAAAGUACGGCGUUCUGCUUUGUCUGUCUUCAUCUUUCCUGCACUAUUUAUCAUGGGAAAAUCCACAUAACUUAAGGUCUCUGCUACAAACUACAGACAGGAAAAAACCUAAACAUGGUAUACAAUAGGACGCGUAUUUCUGCUGAGCCCGUAGGGAGGGAUGAAGGGUUUUUCCUCUCUUUCAGCUGUAUUUUAAAAAGUAAGAGGCACUUCUCUUUAAAUUGGGAUAAAGAAGGCCCAGAUUUGUUCUAAUAGCUACAAAGCACGCUGGCUAUAAUCAACAAUAUUGCUUUCUGCAACCUGCCCAGAGCCUUUCAUGAAAUAUGUCGACAUCAGAAACUACGACCAGGUCAAUAACAAGGACAAAUAAAGAGGUGCAAUUUUGUACUGAGAUGUAAGCGUGUUUGUAGGAAGCACAAAACCUGAAACAGUACACAAUUUUUCAGGGCUUAUAGCUAUAAUUUAAAACGACAGAGCAGGAUUUCAGAGCAAAAAUGCUGCCAAGGAGAAAUGGAUGCUGUGCUUAUCACAUACAUUAACGAUUUGACUCUCCCCACACCGUACCCACCCCUUACAAAUGGC